UACAGAGGCCCCAAGCGUUACUGAGAAUCACUGGGUUUAAAGGGUGCGUAGGUGGCGCGUUAAGUCCGUUGUGAAAUCCCUGGGCUCAACCCAGGAAAUGCUUCGGAUACUGGCGUGCUUGAGGCCGGUAGGGGUCACUGGAACUGACGGUGGAGCGGUGAAAUGCGUAGAUAUCGUCAGGAACGCCAAUGGUGAAGACAGGUGACUGGGCCGGAUCUGACACUGAGGCACGAAAGCGUGGGGAGCGAACGGG
rnacentral:rRNA from 1 species